rnacentral:rRNA from 1 species
UCUGGUGUCUAUAGCGGAGAAGAAACACACGUUCCCUUCCCGAACACGGUAGUUAAGAGCUCCAGCGGCGAUGGUACUGCUCAUAUGAGAGUGGGAGAGUAGCACGACGCCAGAA